UCCCCCAGACCUACCUCUGAGUUCUGGGGACACCAUCCCCUCACCCCUACUGCUAGGCCCAGGAGUCUCAGAGCCAACAGUGAGCUCCUUCUCACUCUGUACCUCUGAGCGGGCAGGAAACCUUGUCUACUGACUCUCUGAAAUUUGACCAGUCUUCAGUCCUCGCCUCCGAGCCAGCUGCAGCCCCACCCCUUCCCUUUAUCCCAUGCACCCCAAGACUGCACAGUCAGUGAUCCUUUCAGAGGCGAAUCCGCCCAGGUCACUUCUGCUCCAAAGUUACCCUAAUAAACUCUGGGCUGGAGAAACCCUCCAGGAGAUGCUUAAAUGACGCCCACCCUCGUGCGAGAUGAGAGCAGGGUCAGGCUGCAGGCGAGUCCAGCCUUGAUGAUGGAGAAAGGGCUCCGCCAGCAGGCUCCCUCACCACCACCAGGGCCCUCCCCGGAACUACAAAGCGCUUUCCCCGGCAGAUAACAGGUUAUAAAUAAGUCUGUCCUUCCCACCAGCUCCCUCUGCCAAAGCUGAUGGGUGGAGGCAGAUGCAGGCCAUGAGAAAGCAGGCCCUGGGGUCCGCAACGUGUUCCAUCCGCAGACGUCGGGGUCCGGCCCAGCCUGACCCCGCUCUGUCUCCCGAGAGACCCCAGGAGUCAGGACCACCCGGGUUCUGAAGGCAGCCUGACCUCCCCACCGCACACAGCGCUUCCACACACCACAGGGAGCCACACGCCUUCCCACCACGACUAGGCCGUUGGGCCCGAUGUGGCCAGGAAGAGGCCUCCGACGUCACCGAGGGUCUGACUAGGACCCUGAACUCCAGAGCAGCCGCGGGGUCCUGGGCGAGGGCAGCUCAGCCCCAGGGAAGACCCCGCCCGAAUCUGGCCUGACUCUUCCUAGUGUGUUCGGGGUGUGAGUCAGGUCUCCCUGGCCGCAGUCUCAGUAUCCCAGGAGGAUAAAGUCUGCUGUAGCUCCCUACUCCCACCAAGCGAAUGGUCCCAAGGCAGACAGUGAAGCCACAGCCCAGAGAGGUGAGCUCCGGAGGCCAGGGCCCUGAGCGCUGGGCUGGUGGACCUGUCCAUGAGCCUGACAGCAACUGGGGGCUCCUUCAUCCAUCAGCCUGGCAGGAAGCGGGGGCUCCUUCUGUCCGUCAGCCUGACGGGAAGUGGGAGCUCCUCCUGUCUGUCAGCCUGAUAGGAACUGGGGGCUCCUUCAUCCGUCAGCCUGACAGGAAGUGGGGGCUCCUUCAUCCAUCAGCCUGACAGGAACUGGGGGCUCCUGCAUCCAUCAGCCUGACAGGAACUGGGAGCUCCUUCUGUCCAUCAGCCUGACAGGAAGUGGGGGCUCCUAUCCGGCAGCCUGACAGGAAGUGGGGGCUCUGCGGUUGUGAGCUGGAGGCCUCAGUUCCGCUUCCUUCAGAGCGAGUGACCGCAGCUGGGCAGAGCCGAGGCAGCCCCCACGGCUGGUCCUGGGAAGUCCCUGCCGCUGUUGGCACUGGUGACUCAGGCCAGCCCUGCUCCACCCAAAGGGGAUCACCAGGCCCGCCCUGACUCAGAGGUGCCCACUGGCUCUGGCACAUGGGGGAGCCCCAGCGCUGGGCCCCCCUCGGCCUCUCAGGAGAAGCACGGGGGUUACAAACACCAGGACUGAGAAGUGGGCAGCAGUGACCAGCAGUCUAAUGCCCAGAGGGAGAGCUGGCUUAUACUCUCCUGAAGUGCCCCCAAGAUGCCUGCCCACCCACCUCUGACGCCGUGGGUUUGAGGUGGGAGCGGCCCACACGUCCGUCCUACCUGCCACCUGCCUGGGGCAGGACACGUGCGAGGAGGAGCCUGGGGGACAUGCCAACGUCCAAGGGUGGGGAGGGGUGGCCUGGGUGCUGGGAGGCCCUAAAACCGCCCGUGCUCAUCAGGCUCCGGGCAGCAGCUCCCAGCCAGGGUGUCCCCAGGGCCCCGAAGGCCACCCUUGGGAGUGGACACCCCAGCCAGGCGUCUUCUGGCACUCAGCCACCGUGAGGACCAGAGAAGAGCAGCCUGCACGUGACCCCGAGCCCCCUGCCAGCCCAGGCCCAGUAGCGGGAGGAUGCAGCCAGGCUCCCCAGGAGCGCCUCCUGAUCCAGGAAGCCAAGGAUGGAUCCAAGAGGGCUUUCGGGAGGAGGUGGCAUUUGAGUGGAGCCUUGAAGGGUGGCAGCCAGUAGCAGGGCUCCUCUGCCAGGAGCUCUCCUUCCAGCCAGGCCCCACCCAUCUUAUCUUCCUCUCAGGGGAGCUGGAUCCAGGGACCUUCCUGUGAAGGGCAGCAGAGCCUCCGCCUCUCUGCCCCACGCUGCAGAG
rnacentral:lncRNA from 1 species